AGGACGAACGCUGGCGGCGUGCUUAACACAUGCAAGUCGAGCGGAAAGGCCCUUCGGGGUACUCGAGCGGCGAACGGGUGAGUAACACGUGAGCAACCUGCCCUUAGCUCUGGGAUAGCUCCGGGAAACCGGAAUUAAUACCGGAUACGACCUAGGCCGACAUCGGCCGUGGUGGAAAGUUUUUCGGCUAGGGAUGGACUCGCGGCCUAUCAGCUAGUUGGUGGGGUAAAGGCCUACCAAGGCGACGACGGGUAGCCGGCCUGAGAGGGCGACCGGCCACACUGGGACUGAGACACGGCCCAGACUCCUACGGGAGGCAGCAGUGGGGAAUCUUGCGCAAUGGGCGAAAGCCUGACGCAGCGACGCCGCGUGGGGAUGAAGGCCUUCGGGUUGUAAACCCCUUUCAGCAGGGACGAAGCGAAAGUGACGGUACCUGCAGAAGAAGCGCCGGCUAACUACGUGCCAGCAGCCGC
rnacentral:rRNA from 1 species